UGCGAUAAGGGGAUCCCAAGUGCGUAGGCAUAGAGCCUACGCUUUUGUCCACCCUAGGGUGGUGGACGAAUAAGGGCUGGGCAAGACCGGUGCCAGCCGCCGCGGUAAUACCGGCAGCCCGAGUGAUGGCCGAUCUUAUUGGGCCUAAAGCGUCCGUAGCUGGCCGCACAAGUCCAUCGGGAAAUCCACCUGCUCAACAGGUGGGCGUCCGGUGGAAACUGUGUGGCUUGGGACCGGAAGGCGCGACGGGUACGUCCGGGGUAGGAGUGAAAUCCCGUAAUCCUGGACGGACCGCCGAUGGCGAAAGCACGUCGCGAAAACGGAUCCGACAGUGAGGGACGAAAGCUAGGGUCUCGAACCGGAUUAGAUACCCGGGUAGUCCUAGCCGUAAACACUGCCUGCUAGGUGUGGCACCCACUACGAGUGGGUGCUGUGCCGUAGGGAAGCCG
rnacentral:rRNA from 1 species